UCACGCUGUAAACGAUGUCGAUUUGGAGUUUGUUGCCUAGAGUGAUGGGCUCCGAAGCUAACGCGAUAAAUCGACCGCUGGGGAGUACGGCCGCAAGGUUAAAACUCAAAUGAAUUGACGGGGGCCCGCACAGCGGUGGAGCAUGUGGUUUAAUUCGAUGCAACGCGAGGAACCUUACCUGGUCUUGACAUCCAUAGAAUUCUGCAGAGAUGUGGGAGUGCCUUCGGGAACUAUGAGACAGGUGCUGCAUGGCUGUCGUCAGCUCGUGUUGUGAAAUGUUGGGUUAAGUCCCGCAACGAGCGCAACCCUUAUUCUUUGUUGCCAGCGAUUUGGUCGGGAACUCAAAGGAGACUGCCGUUGAUAAAGCGGAGGAAGGUGGGGACGACGUCAAGUCAUCAUGGCCCUUACGACCAGGGCUACACACGUGCUACAAUGGCGUAUACAAAGGGAAGCGAAGGUGCGAGCUGGAGCGGAUCUCAUAAAGUACGUCUAAGUUCGGAUUGGAGUCUGCAACUCGACUCCAUGAAGUCGGAAUCGCUAGUAAUCGUAGAUCAGAAUGCUACGGUGAAUACGUUCCCGGGCCUUGUACACACCGCCCGUCACACCAUGGGAGUGGGUUGCACCAGAAGUAGAUAGCUUAACCGCGAGGGGGGCGUUUACCACGGUGUGAUUCAUGACUGGGGUGAAGUCGUAACAAGGUAACCA
rnacentral:rRNA from 1 species